rnacentral:rRNA from 1 species
AGCGAACGCUAGCGGCGGGCCUAACACAUGCAAGUCGAGCGGAGGGGCAACCCUCAGCGGCGAACGGGUGAGUAACACGUAGGUCACGUACCCUUUGAUGGGGAAUAACCUAGGGAAACCUGGGCUAAUACCGCAUAUGUCCUUCGGGAUGAAAGCCUUCGGGCGUCAGAGGAUCGGCCUGCGGCCCAUUAUUUAAUCCUAGUUGGUAGGGUAAUGGCCUACCAAGGGUACGAUGGGUAGCUGGUCUGAGAGGAUGAUCAGCCACACUGGAACUGAGACACGGUUCAGACUCCUACGGGAGGCAGCAGUGGGGAAUAUUGGACAAUGGGCGAAAGCCUGAUCCAGCCACGCCGCGUGGGUGAUGAAGGCCUUCGGGUUGUAAAGCCCUUUCGGUAGGAAAGAUGAUGACGGUACCUACAGAAGAAGCUCCGGCUAACUUCGUG